UCGAACUUGCGUGCCCUAGGUGCCACCGACGCCGACGCCCUCUCCGAUCUCCACUGUGCUGCCAGCGAGCUCCUCUCUGCCCUAGCGCCGGCCCACCGCCGAGCCUAGCAUCCUCUCCCGCCACCACAGCGACGCCACUGCUGCCGCUCGAUCUCUUCUCCCCUCUGCCGGUCGGUCUCUCCUUCUCCUCCUUCCCGAGCCGCACCAGGCGCCGCCACCACCUGAGGCUGAACGGAGCAGCGCCUGACCUAGGGUUUCCGGCAGUGGGCUGAUACAUGAUUUUUCCAGCCAUUGCUGGUUGCUACCAUCGCCAGAGAAGAAGGUCAGUGACAGUGGUGUGAAGUUGUUGGAUUCCGGCCACCACAACACUGAAUGCCUUGGUUGUUUCCUUGAUAUCCAACUUUGAUCCGAUCAGUGAAAGGACUUUGACGCGAGACGGGUAUCUCGGAGUCAGAUUUGGACUUUUCUUAUCGGAGG